CCCCACCAUGGCCUAUCCAGGGGAUUACCUUGCGUUUUCCAGAGAGAUCUAAAGGACUCUGGGAAAGGCCAGGCAGAAGCAGGGAGCUUAUUUACCUCCAACCAAUAUGAGGCGAUGAAAAACCAGAACUGACUGACUUUGGAGACUGGGGAGGCUGGGAGGACCUGACAUAACCCAGAACUGCUCCUGUCAUCUGACUUCUCAUUCUUACAACCAGGUGAAAGCAGGACUGGUCUCUCCAGUCCCUUCAGACUCUUCUGGGCUGAGCCUCACCUCCAUCUAGUGCCUCCUGGACCGAGGUGAGUAAAGAGCCUACAUUUUCAAAACCCACACCUGCCACUCAGGUGAGGUGUCUGGGGUCUGAACAACAGACCUUGCCCCUCUUGUGCUGCCGGCCUCACCUCCCCCUGGGAGAACCGCUUCACUGCCAGGCUCCAGAAGGGCACAGCUGCUUCGUCCACAGGCACUGACUGGGAACGGGGUUCUGUGACGCUGUACAGCAGAGCUUGUGAGUACCGGAAGAGAUCUUCCUGUGUCCUGUCCUAUAGGUGAGGCCACUCUAGGCUUAACGCAGCAGGGGCCUCUUCAUAUAGGUGGCAAGUCAACCCUGCCUGCCCCAGCCCCUACUCCCUGGCCUCCCCUCUCCUCCUGUCUGACUGCUGGCUGGAUCUCAGCAGUCACAGGGGCUUAGAGCUGGUCAGGUUCCUGCCCCAGCUUCGUCCCCAGGAGAAGUCCCUUCUCUCUAGCAGCCUUAGUUUCCCCACCUGAACCAUCUCCAAGAGCUUAUCUCAAGUCAACUGUUGGCUAGGCCAAGGGGUGGAGUGGGGGUGGGGAAGUCUUGAAGGCCAGAGAAAGCAGGAAGCAGUCUCUGCCUUAGGGCUGGUGUCCCAGCAAUGUGCCAGCCACCUUCUGAGUCAAGGGUGACAGGUGAUGGGCCUGGGGUGGAUGUGAGGUUGGGGACAGCUUGUGCUAAUGGCAUAUGAAGGUCAGGAUGGUGGGUAUGAUAUGCAAAGAAUUUAAAAACAAUAAUCAAAUACAAUAAAGCCUAUCAGCUUUUUAUUCUCACCACUUGCUGGCAGUUCUAACCCAUGUCAGUGAUAAAAUACUGCUCUCUGAAAAAGUCUUUUAUUGGCUCAAGUUCUAAACAAUUGCACAAUUAUUGUUGAAUUUUUAUGAUAAAUAAAAUAAGCUUCAAAUUA